GGAUUAGAUACCCUGGUAGUCCACGCCGUAAACGAUGUCUACUAGCCGUUGGGGAACUUGAUUCUUUAGUGGCGCAGCUAACGCACUAAGUAGACCGCCUGGGGAGUACGGCCGCAAGGUUAAAACUCAAAUGAAUUGACGGGGGCCCGCACAAGCGGUGGAGCAUGUGGUUUAAUUCGAUGCAACGCGAAGAACCUUACCAGGUCUUGACAUCCUAGGGACUUUCCAGAGAUGGAUUGGUGCCUUCGGGAACCUAGAGACAGGUGCUGCAUGGCUGUCGUCAGCUCGUGCUG
rnacentral:rRNA from 1 species